rnacentral:rRNA from 1 species
GAUGAACGCUGGCGGCGUGCCUAAUACAUGCAAGUCGAGCGAACAGACGAGGAGCUUGCUCCUCUUACGUUAGCGGCGGACGGGUGAGUAACACGUGGAUAACCUACCUAUAAGACUGGGAUAACUUCGGGAAACCGGAGCUAAUACCGGAUAAUAUAUUGAACCGCAUGGUUCAAUAGUGAAAGACGGUUUUGCUGUCACUUAUAGAUGGAUCCGCGCUGCAUUAGCUAGUUGGUAAGGUAACGGCUUACCAAGGCAACGAUGCGUAGCCGACCUGAGAGGGUGAUCGGCCACACUGGAACUGAGACACGGUCCAGACUCCUACGGGAGGAAGCAGUAGGGAAUCUUCCGCAAGGGGGGAAAGCCUGACGGAGCAACGCCGCGUGAGUGAUGAAGGUCUUCGGAUCGUAAAACUCUGUUAUUAGGGAAGAACAUAUGUGUAAGUAACUAUGCACGUCUUGACGGUACCUAAUCAGAAAGCCACGGCUAACUACGUG